AGGUGCACCCUGCCGAGUUCGGCAGUCCCUGAUUCCUUGCUUGUCGCCCGCGCGGCUUGAGCGAGUGAUAUCCGGAAGGCUCAGGAAAACAAAGGAGGGGUGUGGCCGAGGCAGUGGGGACGGUUAACGAUCGAGUAAUUUCGGUGCACCGAACCCAGAACUCAGGAGAAAG